AACGUAGGUGGCAAGCGUUAUCCGGAUUCAUUGGGCGUAAAGCGCGUGCAGGUGGCUUCGUAAGUUGGACGUUAAAUCUCCCGGCCUAACCGGGCGGAGUCGUUCAAUACUGCGGGGCUGGAGGGCAGAAGAGGGGGGUGGAAUUGCUGGUGUAGUGGUGAAAUGCGUAGAUAUCAGCAGGAACACCUGUGGCGAAAGCGGCCCCCUGGUCUGCUCCUGACACUCAGACGCGAAAGCUAGGGGAGUGAACGGG
rnacentral:rRNA from 1 species